UGGCUGAUAUGAGAACACACACACACAAAGUCAUGUCAAAAUAUCCUAACCAAGCAAUUAACACACUGAGGACUGUGAACCAAACCUCAGUGGUGACUUGUGCCCACCUCAAGAGGAGCUCCAGCGUGGAACGCCUUAUUACAAUGAGCCAAAGCCAGCCAUCAACUACUCCAUUUGCCAAGGUGACUUCACAAGAAACCACAGGCUUGUGUGAUCAAGAAAAAUGAAAUUUUGCCUAAAGGUUCCCAGUGUGCCUAACAGGCUAUUUUUUCAGAUUUUUUUGUUUCUUUAAGAUUUGAUUUGUAAUUUCUAUUUAUAUUUUUUAGUUGGGCAGUGGUCAGUAUUGCUGCUGUAUGGAUCCAGUGUACUAUGUUUGAAUCCUAUGCCUGGUCAUUAUCUUUAUAAUGUUUGCACAUUCUGUGUGUGGAUGUGUGUGUGAACAUGUGUGUGCGUGAGAGAGAGAAAUAACUGGGUGGUUGGGGGCUCUAAUUUUCAACCUCUGACACUAAACUGAUGUAUUGUAGAUGUAUACAUAUACUUGAGACUCAUGAUGAACUAAUGCCCAUUGCCAAUGGGAUUGCAAAUAGUUUUAGUUCUUGUCAAUUUUUAUUUGUUUAAGUACACCUUUAAGUUUAUGAAAUGUAAAUAUUCUAUAUUUAUUACUUUUUUAAAUUACCAAAUGUUCAUACAGAAGAAAAAGUAUACAGGUGAUAUUUUUAGAAGGACAAGUGUUUGUAGAAAAAAAAAAACAAACUGUUAGUGCUGUCCUGAAGAAGUAACAAACACAGGGUGUUAGACAUUGUGCCUGAAAACCUGAACCUUUUAUGCUUUAGUUACUCAGCUGUCAAAACCCGAAUGUUUCAGAGCAUUUCUGACACGCAGAGCAGUGAUCCAUGAGCACAACAUGUCCUCUAAAGUGUCUAAGCUGCUAUUUUCAUGCAUUUCUGUUCAUUUUGUUUCUUAGAGCAAACCCUUCUUUAGUGUCUAGUAGUACUCUCUAGUUUUUUUCCACAGUACUUCUGAUUUGUCCUAUUUGCUCAAUAUUUCAAUUACUGGGGUUUUGUUCAUAAGCAAUCUCUCACAUCAUUUUUGGUUCAUAGACUUGUGUGUUUUAAAUCCCUUGUCUGGGGUGAACACUCGUGGAGAGCUCAGAAUUAAGGAAGGUGGGGUUUUAAUGCCACAGGGACAAUUUGAAAGAAAAGUGAAGCUAAGAAGUAGUGUGAACACAAGAUUAAAUGUGUUAAAAGUGUACAGUGUUUAUCUGAAUUAUGCUAUCUUAACAUUUUUUUAUGUUGAGCAUAUGAAAGCAGUAUGAAUAGUUGAAUGGAAGUUUAAUGAAGAUUAAUACUUUGUAAUCAUUUAAGAAUGACCUUAAAUUGAUUACUUAAAAGGAAAGUUUACUGGCUGUGUGUUUGAGAUAUAUAUGGAAUGAAGUUAAGAAGUAAUGUAUGGACAGUGUACAGUGUUAAUCUGAAUUAUGCCAUCUUUCAAUUUUUUUAUAAACGUUAAGCAAUAUGAACACUUGGAAAGAUUUCUGUGCAAGUGAACAAUGUUACUAUGAAGCUGUGUUAUAUAACUGACAUGAAAUACAAGGAAAGGAUGAGUUUCUUAUUUCACUUUUAUAACAUUUUGAUCAUUUUUACAACAGUGCAAACUCAAUAAAAUAUUUUGUUUAAUUGGAA